rnacentral:rRNA from 1 species
AGAGUUUGAUCAUGGCUCAGAUUGAACGCUGGCGGCAGGCCUAACACAUGCAAGUCGAACGGUAACAGGAAGCAGCUUGCUGCUUCGCUGACGAGUGGCGGACGGGUGAGUAAUGUCUGGGAAGCUGCCUGAUGGAGGGGGAUAACUACUGGAAACGGUAGCUAAUACCGCAUAAUGUCGCAAGACCAAAGAGGGGGACCUUCGGGCCUCUUGCCAUCGGAUGUGCCCAGAUGGGAUUAGCUUGUUGGUGGGGUAACGGCUCACCAAGGCGACGAUCCCUAGCUGGUCUGAGAGGAUGACCAGCCACACUGGAACUGAGACACGGUCCAGACUCCUACGGGAGGCAGCAGUGGGGAAUAUUGCACAGUGGGCGCAAGCCUGAUGCAGCCAUGCCGCGUGUAUGAAGAAGGCCUUCGGGUUGUAAAGUACUUUCAGCGGGGAGGAAGGGAGUAAAGUUAAUACCUUUGCUCAUUGACGUUACCCGCAGAAGAAGCACCGGCUAACUCCGUGCCAGCAGCCGCGGUAAUACGGAGGGUGCAAGCGUUAAUCGGAAUUACUGGGCGUAAAGCGCACGCAGGCGGUUUGUUAAGUCAGAUGUGAAAUCCCCGGGCUCAACCUGGGAACUGCAUCUGAUACUGGCAAGCUUGAGUCUCGUAGAGGGGGGUAGAAUUCCAGGUGUAGCGGUGAAAUGCGUAGAGAUCUGGAGGAAUACCGGUGGCGAAGGCGGCCCCCUGGACGAAGACUGACGCUCAGGUGCGAAAGCGUGGGGAGCAAACAGGAUUAGAUACCCUGGUAGUCCACGCCGUAAACGAUGUCGACUUGGAGGUUGUGCCCUUGAGGCGUGGCUUCCGGAGCUAACGCGUUAAGUCGACCGCCUGGGGAGUACGGCCGCAAGGUUAAAACUCAAAUGAAUUGACGGGGGCCCGCACAAGCGGUGGAGCAUGUGGUUUAAUUCGAUGCAACGCGAAGAACCUUACCUGGUCUUGACAUCCACGGAAGUUUUCAGAGAUGAGAAUGUGCCUUCGGGAACCGUGAGACAGGUGCUGCAUGGCUGUCGUCAGCUCGUGUUGUGAAAUGUUGGGUUAAGUCCCGCAACGAGCGCAACCCUUAUCCUUUGUUGCCAGCGGUCCGGCCGGGAACUCAAAGGAGACUGCCAGUGAUAAACUGGAGGAAGGUGGGGAUGACGUCAAGUCAUCAUGCCCCUUACGACCAGGGCUACACACGUGCUACAAUGGCGCAUACAAAGAGAAGCGACCUCGCGAGAGCAAGCGGACCUCAUAAAGUGCGUCGUAGUCCGGAUUGGAGUCUGCAACUCGACUCCAUGAAGUCGGAAUCGCUAGUAAUCGUGGAUCAGAAUGCCACGGUGAAUACGUUCCCGGGCCUUGUACACACCGCCCGUCACACCAUGGGAGUGGGUUGCAAAAGAAGUAGGUAGCUUAACCUUCGGGAGGGCGCUUACCACUUUGUGAUUCAUGACUGGGGUAAAGUCGAAACAAGGUA